UGGGGAAUAUUGGACAAUGGGGGCAACCCUGAUCCAGCCAUGCCGCGUGAGUGAUGAAGGCCUUAGGGUUGUAAAGCUCUUUCACCCGGGACGAUAAUGACGGUACCGGGAGAAGAAGCCCCGGCUAACUUCGUGCCAGCAGCCGCGGUAAUACGAAGGGGGCUAGCGUUGUUCGGAAUCACUGGGCGUAAAGCGCACGUAGGCGGACCGUUAAGUCGGAGGUGAAAUCCUGGGGCUCAACCCCAGAACUGCCUUCGAUACUGGCGGUCUCGAGUCCGGAAGAGGUGAGUGGAACUGCCAGUNUAGAGGUGAAAUUCGUAGAUAUUGGCAAGAACACCAGUGGCGAAGGCGGCUCACUGGUCCGGUACUGACGCUGAGGUGCGAAAAGCGUGGGGAGCAAACAGGAUUAGAUACCCUGGUAGUCCACGCCGUAAAACGAUGAAUGCCAGCCGUCGGGCAGCAUGCUGUUCGGUGGCGCAGCUAACGCUUUAAAGCAUUCCGCCUGGGGAGUACGGUCGCAAGAUUAAAAACUC
rnacentral:rRNA from 1 species